UCAAAGAUUUUUUUAAAAAUCACAAAUUUAUGGAAAAAUUUAAAUG
rfam:Cavia porcellus supercont2_26 genomic scaffold, whole genome shotgun sequence.